rnacentral:rRNA from 1 species
GGGGGAUAACUACUGGAAACGGUAGCUAAUACCGCAUAACGUCGCAAGACCAAAGAGGGGGACCUUCGGGCCUCUUGCCAUCGGAUGUGCCCAGAUGGGAUUAGCUAGUAGGUGGGGUAACGGCUCACCUAGGCGACGAUCCCUAGCUGGUCUGAGAGGAUGACCAGCCACACUGGAACUGAGACACGGUCCAGACUCCUACGGGAGGCAGCAGUGGGGAAUAUUGCACAAUGGGCGCAAGCCUGAUGCAGCCAUGCCGCGUGUAUGAAGAAGGCCUUCGGGUUGUAAAGUACUUUCAGCGGGGAGGAA